UACGAAGGGGGCUAGCGUUGCUCGGAAUUACUGGGCGUAAAGCGCACGUAGGCGGCUUUCUAAGUCGGAGGUGAAAUCCUGGAGCUCAACUCCAGAACUGCCUUCGAUACUGGAGAGCUUGAGUCCGGGAGAGGUGAGUGGAACUGCGAGUGUAGAGGUGAAAUUCGUAGAUAUUCGCAAGAACACCAGUGGCGAAGGCGGCUCACUGGCCCGGUACUGACGCUGAGGUGCGAAAGCGUGGGGAGCGAACAGG
rnacentral:rRNA from 1 species